UGUGUGUGUGUGUGUGUGUGUAUGUGUGUGUGUGCAUGCACAUGUGCACACACACACACACAUACA
rnacentral:miRNA from 1 species